GACGAACGCUGGCGGCGUGCUUAACACAUGCAAGUCGAACGGAAAGGCCCUGCUUUUUUGGUGUGCUCGAGUGGCGAACGGGUGAGUAACACGUGAGUAACCUGCCCUUGACUUUGGGAUAACUUCAGGAAACUGGGGCUAAUACCGUAUAGGAGCUCCUGCUGCAUGGUGGGGGUUGGAACGUUUCGGCGGUUGGGGAUGGACUCGCGGCUUAUCAGCUUGUUGGUGGGGUAGUGGCUUACCAAGGCUUUGAAGGGUAGCCGGCCUGAGAGGGUGACCGGCCACAUUGGGACUGAGAUACGGACCAGACUCGUACGGGAGGCAGCAGGGGGGAAUAUUGCACAAUGGGCGGAAGCCUGAUGCAGAAACGCCGCGUGCGGGAUGACGGCCUUCGGGUUGUAAACCGCUUUCGCCUGUGACGAAGCGUGAGUGACGGUAAUGGGUAAAGAAGCACCGGCUAACUACGUG
rnacentral:rRNA from 1 species